rnacentral:tRNA from 1 species
AAAGGCCUAUAGGACUUUCUCCUACAUCAUCUGAAUGCAACU